rnacentral:rRNA from 1 species
AACGAACGCUGGCGGCGUGGAUAAGACAUGCAAGUCGAGCGGGACACUUCGGGUAGCAAUAUUCGGAGUGUUCAGCGGCGCAAGGGUGCGUAACACGUGGGUAAUCUGCCGUGAAGCCUGGAAUAACUCGCUGAAAGGCGAGCUAAUACCGGAUGUGAAGUUUGGAAGGCAUCUUUUGGACUUCAAAGCUGGGGACCGUAAGGCCUGGCACUUCACGAUGAGCCCGCGGCCUAUCAGCUAGUUGGUGAGGUAACGGCUCACCAAGGCUAAGACGGGUAGCUGGUCUGAGAGGACGACCAGCCACACUGGAACUGAGACACGGUCCAGACACCUACGGGUGGC